rnacentral:rRNA from 1 species
AGAGUUUGAUCAUGGCUCAGAAUGAACGCUGGCGGCGUGCCUAACACAUGCAAGUCGAGCGAGAAAGUCUCUUCGGAGAUAAGUACAGCGGCGGACGGGUGAGUAACGCGUGAGAAUUUACCCUUUAGUGAAGAAUACCUCUGAGAAAUCAGGGUUAAUACUGCAUACGUCCCUACGGGGAGAAAGGUGGCCUCUUUGCUGCCGCUAAAGGAUAAGCUUGCGUACUAUUAGCUAGUUGGUGAGGUAAAGGCUCACCAAGGCGAUGAUGGUUAGCCGGCCUGAGAGGGUGUACGGCCACACUGGAACUUAGACACGGUCCAGACUCCUACGGGAGGCAGCAGUGAGGAAUAUUGCGCAAUGGGCGAAAGCCUGACGCAGCGACGCCGCGUGGAGGAUGAAGGUCUUCGGAUUGUAAACUCCUGUUAAGUGGGAAGAAAGACCUAUUUCUAAUACAGAUAGGGGAUGACGGUACCAUUAGAGAAAGCACCGGCUAACUUCGUG